rnacentral:rRNA from 1 species
AUUUUACGAAGACAAUUGGAGGGCAGUCUGGUGCCAGCAGCCGCGGUAACUCCAGCUCCAAAAGCGUAUAUUAAAGUUGCUGCAGUUAAAAAGCUCGUAGUUGGAUCUGGGUUGUGCGUUCACGCGCCUUUACUUGUCCGUCAGACUCGGUCAAUGCCUUGGCUGAUGUUCAAAUAGGUGUAGUGGGCGUGCUGCCUUUCAGCCGUGUCUGUGUAAACGGGUGCUGACUGGGUUGAUGAGCUUGUCUUGUUAACCUGUUGGCAUGCUUCUAGAUGCCCUUUACCGGGUGUCGGGAGCGGACGGCAUCUUUACUUUGAACAAAUUUGAGUGCUCAAAGCAGGCCUGUGGGCCUGAAAAUUCUUGCAUGGAAUAAUGGAAUAGGACUUCGGUUCUAUUUUGUUGGUUUUCGGAUCCGAAGUAAUGGUUAAGAGGGACAGACGGGGGCAUUUGUAUGGCGGUGUGAGAGGUGAAAUUCUGGGAUCGCCGCCAGACAAAUCCCAGCGAAAGA